GGGAUGAGCGUGGAGGAAUAGACCCGGAGGCGCUGGCUCCCUCAAUUCGCUGUGUGAGAAGGCAGCCGAUCAGAAGAGGGAUUUGCAGGAAAGACAGACACGGCUCAUGGGAUUUAAAAGAACCAAGGCUCACCUCCUGUGGCCAGCGUCCUACCGCAAGCUUGAGCCAUGAGUUUCCACGUCGGCCGUAGGCUCUUCAGCACCACAGGAGCUUGCUUGGGCAGGCGACGCAGCCAAGAGAUCUAAAGGUCCUCACCGGGUGGGGCAAGAGUCAGCAGAUCGACUUCCAGCUUCCCAUCCUGCAGGGAACCAUCGCGCCGAGGCCCGCCAUCACACUCUGCCUUUGGAGAAAUCCAAACUACGAGGGUGAUGCUGGCGCUGGCGGGAACGAGGAGGAGCCCUUCCCGAGGCGGGGGCCAUUCUGAAACGGACUCAGAGCCGCACGUGAAGACGCCAGCAAAGACCCGUGGAU